UGUAACAGUGGUUAUGACUUGAACAGCAGAGGGAAGGACGAGCUGGGUCUGGCUGGGGUGGUCAAGAGCUCAUUGCCCUGGGCACACACGGUUCAGCCCAGUCCCCUGCAUCCCCAAAGCCCCACAUCUGGCACCCAUCAGAUGGAGGAGCAGAAUUUGGACCCUGCCUGCACACUUCAGCAGGGGCAAAACCCCUGGGGUCCAGACAAAAAUUGGGCUGGAGUCCGGUGGUGCAGCGGGGAAGGCAGCGCCGGGGGACACACAGGGUUUGGGGACAGCACCUGGCACACCCCAGGCUGGGAAAAGCCUUGCAAAACUCGAGAUCUUCCAGCAGAUAAGUCUGGCAUCAGGCACUGGUCGCAGAACUCUUCUGCUCACUGCUGCUGCUUGACUUGGCCCUUGCUGUGCAAACGCAGGUGUUGGAGGGCAGCGCUGGGCACCCCUGUGCUGCCCACACCACUGCACCCAUGGGACGUCUCACCCAGGACCGGCACCUUCUCCGUGCCCAGCGGCCAGCUCAAGGGACACGGUCACGUACGUCCCGCUGCAGCGACGUGAUUUAUUGGUGCCUGUGGGAAGCGCUGAGGCCUCUCUGGUGUGAAAAACGCGCACAAAUGCACGGCAGGGAGAUGAUGUUUCCUCCCCGAAACGCAGGCACAGAGCUGGGGAUUUCACUGGAAAACAGGAACUUUGCCGGACAGCAGCUGCUCCGAGGCGGUGAAUCAGCUCGUCCCACUGACGCCCAGCAGAGCCGUGCCAGCACCAGCACCAGCACCAGCACCAUCACCAACACCAGCUCUCCCAUGCCCAACGCCCUGUGCGCUGGGGACCCCGAUGUGGCCACACGUGCCACCAGUCCGGCAGACGGCACACAGGGACCCAGCCAGCAGCUGCGACCACCGACCACCCGUGUGGCAGCAGCGAGGGGUCUGCGGCCGGUGCCCUGUCCCUGCUGCCUGCGCAGAGGUCAGCGGGCCACGACCAGGCACGGAUGGCUAAUGCCUUUUGUCCCAGCCUGACUUUUCCCCUCCCAGAGGGAUUAGGAUGGGAUGACCAGGCAAGGAGCCCCUAAUCCUAUUACUAGCCCUGUCGGGCAGCCCUGGGAAGCCACCAUGCCGCAAGGCACCAGGGCAGUGGGUGAGGGAGCAGCCUGUGAUGUCCUGAGCUGUUGCUACAAAACCAAGCACAGCUGCCGUUCCACUCAGCCCUUUCUCCACCAGUUUUCCCAAAAUCACUUUGCUCUGAACUUGGAGAGCUCUCGGUAUGGUGCCCCAGUUUGUCUGGGCAGCAGGAGAGACAUGGGCAACCCCGACCACUGCAUCCCCUGCCAGUGGGGCUCAGCCCCCCAUAGUCACGCACUCAGCAGCAUUUGGGGCAGGUGGUCCCAAGCCCUUUUGGCUCAUUUGGCUCAUUUGCCACAUUUCUCUGCAGGAUAGCAGCUGAGAGGGCAGCAAACCUUCUCCCGCCUGGAGAGCAAAUUGUUUUUCUCCCUCAACAGUUGCAAGAAGCUGUGUUUGUCUUUCUUUCCCUUCCUGUUUACUCGCUGCCAUCAGGACGGGCUUUGAUGUGCUUUUGCUGCUGGACAUUCACAGGAGCAUCAUCUCCCGGGUGCCCACAGCUCCCCGCUCGGUGCAGUGGAGACUGUGGCUCUCAACGCAGCUCCAACAUUGACGGGGCUGUGGCAGAGCCUGUGUGCCACAGGGGCACAGCCUGGCACCGUGCCAGAGCGGGAGGGAGCCAACACAGCAGUCCCCUUGGCAGCGCCGCGGCUGCCGCACAGCUCCUACGCUCCAAAGUCCAGGAGGCAGAGAGAGCCCUGCCCGGCCGUGCUUGGGGCAGAUGCCACCCCGGGGGAAACAGGCUCCUCUGGGAGCGGGGAGCUGGUGGUGGCACCAGGAUCCUGCUGGUCUGCAUCACCCCAUCCCCACAUCCCAGGGCAGGGGUGUCAGCACAUCCCUCCAGCUGCUGGCCAGGGGGGCACAGAUCCCCCCACACUCCUGGUUUCCUCCCGGCUGUGAGUCUCACUGCCCUGUGCAAGAGCCGCUGCACUUGAAAGGUCACCGGGCUUUGAUGUCGGUGGCUUGGGAUGGUAGGGGAGGGUUCACACCUUGCUGGCACUUCUGGUUCCCAGCGUGUCACCCAUGCGAGCCCUGUGCCUGCACCGCGGCGUGGGAACAGAGGGACUGUCCCUAUACGCGGAGAUGGAGAAAGCCACCUGGGCUAUCCAGGACCCCAAGGGGACACAGCCCAAGCAAGAGCCCCCGUCCCAUCAAAGGAGCAGCCCUUGCGAAGCAGGAGGGAUCCCUCCCCAUGGAGGGGACCCCACAGAGGGAUGAAGGAUCAUGGCAUCACAGGGUUUUUUUGUUAAUUUCUAUUUCAUCCCUAUUCUAAAGAAAAUAUGCAAUGAUUUUCCAGGAAAUAAAUCGCUCACGUGCAGCUGCCAGCGGACACAGGUUGAGAACGGGCUCUGAGGCUUCUCCAAACCGUUUGGCACCACUGCAAACCCACAACAGCACCCAAGCACAGCCACCACGGCACAGGGCAGGGGACCAGGAUGUGCUGGGCAUGACGGGGGUUUUCCUGGGGCUCCUGCGUGCACCCAAGCGUGGUUCAGGAGGGUCCUCCCAUGAUGGGACACUCUGGGAUAAAGCAGACGGCUCUGGGGAGGCAGCCAGUGCCCCGCAGCCUCUCCUCUCCCAGCGGAAACAGCAUCUUUUGGCCAAUUUCUCCUGGUUCUCGUCUUCGUGUGCCUGGCUUUGAUUCACGGCCGAGCCCUGUGAUAAUGUGGCUGCCUGGGAAGGAAGGGAGUAGAAGGAACUGGCUAUUAUGCUUGGCCCCUCUCCAGGAGGUGUUUUUGCUGGGAGGCACCAAGGUCAGAGCUGGGUGGGAAGCGUUCCCCAACAGCAGCCCUCACACAUGCCCCAGCCACGGCAGGGGGACACGGGAUCCCCCACACCGCCCUGGCAGCAGGGUUGCCUUCCUGGUGCCCAUAGCCCAAAACACCCUGCAUGGGCACAGAAGAUGCGUGGUUCCCCCAGCACAUGUUUUUGGGGGAGAAAGAACUGGUUUACAGCCACUCUGUGAAAUGGAACAUCUCCAAAUCUUCCUGUUUCCACAUGGAAGGAAAGAGGGGGCGGCGGGUGGGAGCAUCCACAAACGAAGCAAGCGGCAAGGGCUGCAGUGCGGGAAGCGCUUGUUCACCCUCUUUUUGUAAUUGCUUAAGAAUUUCAGCUGGCUUCAGCCUGGCGCAGAAGCUCCCAAGCCCUGAAUCCCAUUGCUGUGAGAACAGAGCUGGCACCAAAACACUCCUGAAACUACCUGCCGGCAUCGGUGUCAUCCCAGGACCCUGCAAACCAGCCCCUCCAGGCCAACGCAGCGAGAAGGGGCAUGCCUGGGUCUCCGGGGGCAACAUCUCCCAAAAAUCCUGCCCCAAAGCCUGCAAGGAGCGAGUGUCCAUGAGGCGUGAUGUGUUUUUCGAGCGCUUGCCCUGGGAGAGGCGAAUCCCAGCGGUGCGGAGCCGGGUGAAACCGCGGGGAUGCCAGCGCAGCUCAGACUCACUCGGCAUUGCGCAGCGGUCCAGAAAUCUGGUAUCAGGUUCAUGCCCAGGCUUGUGUGCAGAGAAUCGUGCUUGGGUUUUCACUACUGCGAGUGAUGGGUUUUGAUUAUUGAAUGUAAAUAUCAGAGGAGGCCUGAUCCUGGUCCCUCCGCACACUCUGGUGAGCAAUCUUUGCUGAGACGAUGGAAAGUCCCAUGUACCUCAGCAGGAAAAGGAGGAAUGAAAAAAAGCAAAGAAAUGGAUGGUUUUGAAAGAAGAUGCAUGUGAAACUCAGGGUGAAAACAUGUCCCACAUGGCACCAGGGCUGGGGGCAAGGCUGGGCUGGGGUCUGUGCUUCGAGAGAGCCGGGGUCACUGCCUGUGAGUGAGAGCUGUUGGGUGCAGAGCCACCCCCAGCCCCGAGCUGGGUGCCCACGGUGCUCCCGGGUGAGGGAAGGGACAGGGACACGCAGGGUUUGCAGCAACCAGGUGCAGGCAAAGGCAAGAACACAGAGUGGACAAAGACACGCACUGAGGGACCAAGGGGACCCGCACCCCGAGCCAGCCUGCGGGGAAGGGACGGGCUCAGUGCCAGGUACAUCGUCACCCGCAGCCCCAUAAACCCCAUCGGCCUCUGUUUACACAACAGAGAAUGUUUCGGUUGUUUUAUGGGGGUGGAUAAGAGCAGCGCAGGGGCCGGCAGUGCCGGGGCAGGGCCAAGAGACGCCUGCCCAACACCUGCUCUCCCUUCGCAGCCCAUAAAGGCAUUUUAUUUUAAACGUGACACAGAUUUUAUAGCGCAAUAGCGCAGCAGCACCUUUCACCCAGGUACAAUCAGUGCGGGGAAAUACGCUCCUCCGGGACGUCUCCCUGCCCGUCGCUAAUCCCAUGGGUGAGAGUUACUAAACUGACUUUACACACCAAGAAAUGAUGGCCAGAAGCCACCCUGCAAUUAAAACCAGUUUCAGCAGCCCGCGAGGAGGAAAACCUGGCGGGUGCCAAGCGCGGGCGCAGCAGCCGUGCUGGGGCAGGGACACGUGUGGCACCGAUGGCAGCGAGAGCUGGCUGUCCCCUCUGUCCCCUGUCCUGUCCCCAUCCCAGACACCCUGGUGGGACCGAUCCCCACAGCGCUGCCAGAAGGAAAAUCAUCCUCCAUGGGCACGUGCUGCCGGCGGGACAGCACAAUCGGUGUGAUUUAUCCCGUGGCCGUGCACUCACAAUCCUCCACUCAGCUAUUUAAGAAAAAAAAAUACAUCAGGAUUUAGACCAUUCUUUCAAAUCCAGCCUCAUUUUUCUGGUGCCCUGGGGAAUCACAGCUUAAUCCCAUUAUGGGGCAGCUUGGGCUGGGAUAGUUUUACAUCGCAGACUCCAUGACCGGCUGCGUUUUUAUCUGCUCAGACUUUCCAGGAUGCUCUACCCACUUUGAUUCACGCUUAAUUACUAAGAAUUGCUGUUUUAGAGAGCGUGAGCGAGGGUGCGGGUACGUGUACCAGCACUAACCCUGCGUGCCGAUCCGAAACCCAGCCGGAGGAGGAAUGCCAAACCGAGCACAGCGGGGAGAGCAGGAGAGAUCCAGUUUGAUGUCUGCCUUAUCGGUCCUAUUUUUAUUGCACUAAAUAUAUAAGAGCAAAAUAUCGAUUGUGAUGAUAAAGAGAUGAAAGUGUCAAGAAGGAAUCGGCACACUAGUUAUUCAGGCGAUUGGAAGCCGCGUUGGUUGUAUUUAACAGGCAUUUGCCAUUAAGAAAAAAAACGCCUGUUUUUAUUUAAAUAGCCUAGGGCAAAUUUCUCACUAAACCAACUUUCCCACGCCAGCCCAGUGCUCUAACUCUGGUUUUUGGCAAAUUUUUUCCUGAGCUGUCAAGGCAAAAUAUAUAUAAGAAUGCUGGUCUCACUUAGGUUUUUUUUUCCAGCCCCUGGAGACAUGAAAAUAAUUUACAGAUGUGCAUUACCUGUUUAUAUUUGUAUUAAGUUUUGCUUAACAGACAUAAUUUUCUUAGCUUGCAGUAACAAAAAAAUAUUCCCAGAGUUUCACUCAUUUAAUUUUAACUUAUUAAAACUUUUAAACAUGUGUGGAGGUUUUAUGUUUUUAAAUCACUAAUCACAUGGACAGUUGCCAAGGUUUCUAUUAAAGCCUUUUACAAAUGCUAUUUUUAAAAGUACCUAAAAUCCCAUUAUUUUUAACCCCCGAA